rnacentral:rRNA from 1 species
UACGAAGGGGGCUAGCGUUGCUCGGAAUUACUGGGCGUAAAGCGCACGUAGGCGGCUCUUUAAGUCGGGGGUGAAAUCCUGGAGCUCAACUCCAGAACUGCCUUCGAUACUGAAGAGCUUGAGUCCGGGAGAGGUGAGUGGAACUGCGAGUGUAGAGGUGAAAUUCGUAGAUAUUGGGUGGAACACCGGUGGCGAAGGCGACACGCUGGGCCGUACCUGACACUGAUG